rnacentral:rRNA from 1 species
GACGUAGGGCGCGAGCGUUGUCCGGAUUUAUUGGGCGUAAAGAGCUCGUAGGCGGCUCGUUGCGUCAACCGUGAAAACCCGGGGCUCAACUCCGGGCCUGCAGCCGAUACGGGCAGACUGGAGUUCGGCAGGGGAGACUGGAAUUCCUGGUGUAGCGGUGAAAUGCGCAGAUAUCAGGAGGAACACCGGUGGCGAAGGCGGGUCUCUGGGCCGAUACUGACGCUGAGGAGCGAAAGCGUGGGGAGCGAACAGG